GGGCUAAUAGCUCAUUUGGUAGAGCGUUCGCUUUGCAUUGCAACAUCAGGUUCUUAGCUUGCGAAAGGUACAGGGUUCGACUCCCUGUUAGUCCA